rnacentral:rRNA from 1 species
UACGUAGGGGGCAAGCGUUGUCCGGAUUUAUUGGGCGUAAAGAGCGUGUAGGCGGUUUGGUAGGUCCGCUGUGAAAACUCGAGGCUCAACCUCGAGACGCCGGUGGAAACCAUCAGACUAGAGUCCGGAAGAGGAGAGUGGAAUUCCUGGUGUAGCGGUGAAAUGCGCAGAUAUCAGGAGGAACACCGGUGGCGAAGGCGGUUCUCUGGGCAUGACCUGACGCUGAGGAGCGAAAGUGUGGGGAGCGAACAGG